UUUGUUUUAGUAUAAUUAGUACAAAAAUUUUUGAAGUUUUUAAUAAAAGUUUAACCCUUUUAAACAAAA
rnacentral:tRNA from 1 species